UACGGAGGGUGCGAGCGUUGUCCGGAAUCACUGGGCGUAAAGGGCGCGUAGGCGGCUGGGGAAGUCGGCGGUGAAAGCCCGGAGCUCAACUCCGGGUCGGCCGUCGAGACUCCUCGGCUCGAGCUCACUAGAGGCAGAUGGAAUUCCGGGUGUAGCGGUGGAAUGCGUAGAGAUCCGGAAGAACACCGGUGGCGAAGGCGGUCUGCUGGGUGAGGCUGACGCUGAUGCGCGACAGCGUGGGAGCAACAGG
rnacentral:rRNA from 1 species